rnacentral:miRNA from 1 species
AAGGGCUAUGUUUACACUUAGU